UACAGAGGUCUCAAGCGUUGUUCGGAUUCAUUGGGCGUAAAGGGUGCGUAGGUGGCGCGGUAAGUCGGGUGUGAAAUCUCGGAGCUUAACUCCGAAACUGCAUUCGAUACUGCGGUGCUUGAGGACUGGAGAGGAGACUGGAAUUCAUGGUGUAGCAGUGAAAUGCGUAGAGAUCAUGAGGAAGACCAGUGGCGAAGGCGGGUCUCUGGACAGUUCCUGACACUGAGACACGAAGGCCAGGGGAGCAAACGGG
rnacentral:rRNA from 1 species